rnacentral:rRNA from 1 species
UACGUAGGGUGCAAGCGUUAAUCGGAAUUACUGGGCGUAAAGCGUGCGCAGGCGGUUUUGUAAGUCAGAUGUGAAAUCCCCCGGGCUUAACCUGGGAACUGCGUUUGAAACUACAAGGCUAGAGUGUGGCAGAGGGGGGGUAGAAUUCCACGUGUAGCAGUGAAAUGCGUAGAGAUGUGGAGGAACACCGAUGGCGAAGGCAGCCCCCUGGGUCAAGAUUGACGCUCAUGCACGAAAGCGUGGGGGAGCAAACAGG